UAAAUUCUGUCAUCUGCUCAUUAUUGGUGUUAAUGGUGUUUUUUACAUGCAUGCUUUUUAAUGCUAGUUUAAUUCCCAAAUAGAUCUGAUACUUUAGUUUCAACAAAUCUUUAAUAAACAAAUGGUUAACUUUUUUUAGGUCCUGACUGCCACCAGUUGAGUCAAUGAUUCAGUGAGUUGCUUAUAAGAAAAGAUAUUAAUCUGUUACCACCUAGUAGUUUAACUUUAUUAUUUAUUGCUGUAAAAUUAACACAUAUUUAUCAUCAAGUGGAGAGACAGUCUGGGCAGCAGCAACAAGACAACUAUUACAAGUAGAGAUGGGUUUUAAGAACUGGUACUAAUUUGGUUCCUGACAUGUUCAACACAACCACAUAUCAUCCAAAUCAUCUCCAAGUGGAUGGCAGCAAGGAUCCAGGAUCAAGAGAUGAUUCAUCAUGAAGACUGUUCCAUAGGAAGCAGUGAAUCCUGGGUGAACAACUAAACCUGGUUGUUUCAGCAUCACUCAGAUUUGAGGGAAAGAUGAAAAAUCAGGAGGUCUGGGAACGACUGAAGAAGACAGCAGUGAGGGAAGGAAGUAAUCACCAAAUCUGCCAGAGAAGGAUAUUGACGGUGCAGGCUCAGGAUGAAGAAGAGGAGGAAGAACAUGUUUGACAAUUUUCUCAAACUUGCCAUGUGUUAUAAUAAAAACAAUGAACAUGACUACAGUAAUAUGCUAAAUGUUAUUAAAAGAUUCCAGUUUGCAAGAAAUCUGAGUCUCUGACUCUACACUAGAGGAACUCUUUCCUGAAGAAGAUCAGGUGCUGAGAAGGAGCCUUGUUCUACAGCAAAACACUGCAUCAAGCCUCCUGUCCUUCCCUCAGAAGAGCCUGUCUUCUGCUGCUGGGGUAAGAAAGACCCUCUUCCUCUUCUCUAUCGGCUGUCCAGCACCUAACUCUGCCUCCUCAGCACUGACUGAAAGAGUCUUCUCCACAGUCCGUUAUCAGAGUAUUCACAGAUUCUCCUGAGAAAGUCAAUAUGCUCAUUUUCUUAAACUGUUUAUGUUUUUUUGGGGUGGGACAAAUAAUACAGGAGAGAUGCUAGAAAUCCCUAUAUUGUUCAUUUUUCAUAUCUUUACGCUUUAUGAAUGUUUUUUUUUAAUCUUUUGAGAAGCUCAAGAAUUAUGGUUCUUUGGUAAUUGCAAUAUUGUUUAGGUUUAUCUUCUGAUAGUGAGCCCCGCAAAUGACAUGCAAGAAAAAAAUAAAUUGUGUCCACGAUUUACUAAUUCGUUCCCUCAAUGUACUAAAACGUGCACGAUUACUUUUACAUUUCAUCGAUUUGCUAAAUCGUCCGCUCAAUUUACUAAUUUGUUCUCUCGAUUUAUAAAUAGUGUACACGAUUAAGCAAAUCGAGGGAAUGAAAUAGUAAAUCGUGCGCACGAUUUAGCCUACAUUUUUUCCUGCAUGCAAUUAAAGCACAUCACCACCAGACAUUUAUACCAGGUGCCUCAUAUACGACGCUCAGGAAACAAUUUAACUUUUUUUCUGGAAAAAGUCCCGUAUCUGCUGAAUCGUUUCAUAUCUAUUUAUCAUGUCUUUAUUUUUUGCACCAAAUUAUGUAGAGUUGUAUCAAUAAGUGUACUGAUAAUUAUUUAUAAUUUUCACUGAUAACAUCAUUAUUAACUAUCCCCAUCCUUAAUAAGACAAACAUUUUCUGUUGUUUAUAUUGUGUAAUCUAUGAAUUGAUGUGUUCAGUUUUCUGUGCUCAUAACUUGGUAACACUUUGCAUGGUUGAAGAACAGGUGCAAUGUUCAAAAUGUUUUGGCUUAGUAUUUUUAGAAAGUAGUGCUGAAU
ensembl:lncRNA